AUGGCCGUCAUCUACCGCCCUUCUAGUCCCACCUCCGACUUCUUCAACCACCUCGACCCCUUUCUCACCUUCCUUCUCCCCUUCUCCCUGCCCACUCUGAUCCUCGGAGACUUCAACAUCCACAUGGAUGUACCCGGUGACUCCUCUGCCGCCCGCCUGCUAUCGCUCCUCGACUCUGCCGACCUCCUGCUCCACCACACCUGCCCACUUACCGACUCGGUCACACCCUCGAUCUCGUCGUCUCCUACCGCUGCACUAUCUCCUCCCUCACCAACUCUGAAAUCCCUCUCUCAGACCAAAAUCUUCUCACCUGCCUCCUCUCUCACACUGUCUCCCCCUGCAAAUCUGUACUGCUCCCCCACAGAGACCUCCGCUCUCUCGAUCCCAUCCAUCUCUCCAAAAGCAUCUCUCCCCACCUUGCCUCCCUAUCCUCUCUUCCCACUCUCGACGAUCAGGUUACCUCUCUCAACUCCACCCUCUCUACUCAUCUCAACUCACUCGCCUCCCUUUCCCUCCGCCGCUCUCGCUCCACUAACCCAUAGCCCUGGGUCUCUGCCUCUGUCCGCCUCCUUCGCUCUUAUGCUCGAGAUGCUGAGCACCAAGCACCAAGCCGACCUUAUCCAUUGCAAAUUUAUCCUUUCCUGCCUUAACUCUGCCCUCUCCUCCGCCAGGCAAAACUACUUUUCUUCCCUCACUGACGCCCAUGACCGUCACCCCCGCCGAUUGUUCCGGACCUCUAAUUCUCUCCUCAGGCCCCCUGUUCCUCCCCCUCCCCCAACCCUCACCCACAACAAUCUGGCCACCUACUUCAUCACGAACAUUAACACAGUCAGGUCUGAGCUACCCAAAGUCACCCUUCCCCCUUCUCCAUCUCCCCCGCUCUCAACCCUCUCCUCUACUUUCCCAUUCUUCCCUGCAGUAUCUCCAGAGGAGAUCUCCUCCCUCCUCGCAAGUGCCACCUCCUCCACCUGUGCUUCAGACCCCAUUCCCGCUCACCUUAUGAAAACCAUCACCCCUUCCCUCCUCCCCUCCUUAACUUCUAUCUUUAACCGCUCACUCUAA
rnacentral:lncRNA from 1 species